UGUUAAGUCAGAUGUGAAAGCCCCGGGCUCAACCUGGGAACGGCAUCCGGAACUGUCAGGCUAGAGUGCAGGAGAGGAAGGUAGAAUUCCCGGUGUAGCGGUGAAAUGCGUAGAGAUCUGAAGGAAUACCAGUGGCGAAGGCGGCCUUCUGGACUGACACUGACGCUGAGGUGCGAAAGCGUGGGUAGCAAACAGGAUUAGAUACCCUGGUAGUCCACGCCGUAAACGCUGUCUACUUGGAGGUAGAGGUUUAGACUUUGGCUUUCGGCGCUAUCGCAUUAAGUAGACCGCCUGGGGAGUACGGCCGCAAGGUUAAAACUCAAAUGAAUUGACGGGGGCCCGCACAAGCGGUGGAGCAUGUGGUUUAAUUCGAUGCAACGCGAAGAACCUUACCUACUCUUGACAUCCAGAGAACUUUCCAGAGAUGGAUUGGUGCCUUCGGGAACGCUCAGACAGGUGCUGCAUGGCCGUCGUCAGCUCGUGUUGUGAAAUGUUGGGUUAAGUCCCGUAACGAGCGCAACCCUUGUCCCUAUUUGCCAGCGAUUCGGUCGGGAACUCUAGGGAGACUGCCGGUGACAAACCGGAGGAAGGUGGGGACGACGUCAGGUCAUCAUGGCCCUUACGAGUAGGGCUACACACGUGCUACAAUGGUCGGUACAAUGGGCUGCAAUCUCGCGAGAGGGAGCGAAUCUCAUAAAGCCGACCUCAGUUCGGAUCGGAGUCUGCAACUCGACUCCGUGAAGUCGGA
rnacentral:rRNA from 1 species